GGAAAUCUAGUUAAAUUUAUAACAAAAGAAUGUCAUUCUUUAAUUACUUUUAGUGUUUUCCU
rnacentral:tRNA from 1 species